UAAAACUAUGUUUGUUCUGUAUGUUUA
rnacentral:piRNA from 1 species